rnacentral:tRNA from 1 species
GGGGGCUUAGCUCAGUCGGUAGAGCGCCUGCUUUGCAAGCAGGAUGUCGGGAGUUCGAAUCUCCCAGUCUCCAC